ACUGCAAAAGAGAGUGACAAAUUUAAGCGUUUACAGCGAAUUUCCCCCAUCGGCUUGCAGUAAAAACCAGGUAUCUGAAGCAUGGUCUCUUGGCAGAUUUCUUCCUAAAAGAUACAGAUGCUCGCCAGUGAUAUAACUCAAAGGGAAAACGUAAGGUAAGAAUGCUUCUCCCAGACUAGAACAAAUAAAUAUGUCUUUUGACAUAAUUUCUGGAAUGUUUUUACUACAUCAGUUUAUAUUAUUUUUCUACCGAUUUGUUCAUGGCAGGAAGAGAGACUGCACCAGAAACCAGCCCUGCUAAUAACUUGACAUAGGAUCCUAGCUUCCAAAUAUUGUGAGAAUAAAUGUACAUUACUAAAGCCAUCCAGUUGAUGUUAUUUGUUAUGGUGGACCUAGUAGCUAACAUAGGUACAUACAUACGCGUGUAUGUGUUUGUGUAUGGAGUGUUUUAGAGUUAAAAAUGCUCUCCUAUGAAUAUGCAUGCUCAUAAAAAUCUUCCAAAGACAUACUGUAUACAACAAACAGAGGAGAACACAAGGAGACAAAUACUUCGUCUGAAACGGAUGGAGGGAAACUAUUGGGAAGAAAAGGCAGGGUAUGACCUCCGGGAGUUGGUCAUACUCCGGGGACUGUCCCCACACCAAAGAGUACGUGCCAGCACUAACUGAACUCCGUUGCUUUGCUGUGUUUCAGGGGACAUCGAGUUGGGCGGGGGUAGAUCUGGCAGGAGCUGGGGGAGGUGAAUAUGAUUAAAAAAAAACAAUGCUAUGAAAUUCUCAAAGUUAAUAAAGCGUUAUGUAAAAAUAAUUGGAAAUAUAACUUUUUUUUUCAAAUCUUAAACUUCCCCCAAAACAGAGGAUGGAAAUACAGGCAAACCCAAGCAGCACACAUUACGUUUUACAGCAAUAGGAACUGGAGACAAAGAGAAGUGACGAAGGAGCGAGACCAGGAUUUCAAGGUGAACUUGAUCCCAUGGUUUGCCCGAGCGCGUCGCAGAGGGUCCAGGAGCUCCGGACCUCGUCUGCGGAGGUGGCAAAAAUUAAACUGCGGGCAGCCGUGUGACUUUUCUCAUCGUGGAGCAAGUCGGCUCCGGCGUUGUUUCUGUCUGCCACACGGCUUCCCCACCUCACUCUCGGGGUGUUUGGCUAAAACAACAACGAACCCUAUGUGAAGCGUGGCCCCCCUUAACGACGGCGAGGACCUAGAGACAGUGACCGUCCCAUUUCACAGAGCGCACACAAGGGCUGAGCGGUCUGUUAAGGUCUGGCGGUUGAGACACUGCGCCACUGUGAUUGGUCUACUGGAAAGCUAAGUGGCCAAUCGCAAGGCAGGACGUGUAGGCGGGACUUCUGGUCAGAGAGCGCUCUGGGAAGAAGGAAGGAGGAGGUGCCAGUCAGCCAGCGAGGAAGCAGGAUGCAGAGCACAGGUAACCGAGCCACGUAAAAGAGCGUACGUUAAAGAGUAUGCGUUAAUUUCAGCCAGAAGAGCACGUUUAAAGAGUAUGCGUUACUUCCAGCCAGAGGAGCUAGCGGGACAAGCCUGAGCUGUAGGGCAAGCUUUCUUAAUUGAUAGUACGUCUCCAUCUUCUGCGAGCUGGUGGCCCGGAGAACAAUCCGCUUGGGAUUUGAACCCACCCAGUCCCUAGAAAGCUUCCCCGUGACUGUUCUCCGCGGAAGCAGAAGCAGGGGACCUGACUCUGCAGCGCAUGACCAGGGUUCAGCCUGCCAGUCGGGCCAGAAGAGGGGGGCCGCAGGGUGGAAUACGCCCACCAGUAGAGACGUGAUCCCCACACGCCUGCUUUCGUCCAAGUCCUGCAAGCACCCUUCUCGGUCAUGGAACUUCUGUGCGCGCACACAGACCCUCGUCAGAUUUGUCUGAGACUGAAGGUAUGGCAGAACGUGAGAGGAUGAGGGUGGGGGGAGCAGGCGAAGGUGAGGAAGAGGCGGAGAGAUAUAGAGGGAAAACCUGGAGCCAAGCUUCCUUUUGAAGCCUGAGGACAGACAAGACUCAUUUAACUCACAUGGCCCAGCAGAACACCGAUUCCGUUGACUCCUCCCCGAAACCGCCAGCCUCCAGCCUCCCAAAGGUGUGGCCACUCCCUAACAAGGGGAGUCCCUCACCCCUUACCUCUGGAACCAGAACCCCUGAGGCAUCACAAUUCUGGCAGACCCCACAUCCGCAACACCGAAGUCUGCUUCAGCUCCUGCAUUCCGAAGACCACUUGAAGCCAUUUAAAGAGUAUCCCAAAUGUGUAAGAAGUGCCUGCAACUCACCGUGAGAUUGUUUCUGUGUAGGAACAAAACAAGCCUAGAGGAUUUUCAGAAGUGUGGCAAAUGCAGGUAACAGGGAUCUACUUUGACUCUUUGUCAUUUGGAAGAAAACUUCAAGUUUUUAAAAAGGGUGGGGGAGCCGGGUGUUGGUGGCGCACGCCUUUAAUCCCAGCACUCGGGAGGCAGAGGCAGGCGGAUCUCUGUGAGUUCGAGGCCAGCCUGGU